UGGGGAAUAUUGCACAAUGGGCGCAAGCCUGAUGCAGCCAUGCCGCGUGUAUGAAGAAGGACUUCGGGUUGUAAAGUACUUUCAGCGGGGAGGAAGGGAGUAAAGUUAAUACCUUUGCCCAUUGACGUUACCCGCAGAAGAAGCACCGGCUAACUCCGUGCCAGCAGCCGCGGUAAUACGGAGGGUGCAAGCGUUAAUCGGAAUUACUGGGCGUAAAGCGCACGCAGGCGGUUUGUUAAGUCAGAUGUGAAAUCCCCGGGCUCAACCUGGGAACUGAAUCUGAUACUGGCAAGCUUGAGUCUCGUAGAGGGGGGUAGAAUUCCAGGUGUAGCGGUGAAAGGCGUAGAGAUCUGGAGGAAUACCGGUGGCGAAGGCGGCCCCCUGGACGAAGACUGACGCUCAGGUGCGAAAGCGUGGGGAGCAAACAGG
rnacentral:rRNA from 1 species